ACAAGAAAACGGCAAGAGCACAGCAAGGAGCGUCUUCCUACUCAGCCACACCUACCCGCCGCUCAGAUGUGCCCCGGGUGCGGGCUCUCGCCUCUUCUGUCUGUCUGCACACAGUGUUUCCCGAGCUGCUUGAGAGCAAGGGGCAGACAUGAUCACCUCUACCCACGACCAAGGACACUCUGCUGGAAGCGCACUCACGGAGCCCAAGUCAGGAAAGGGAAGUUUGACGCGGUCCUGCCCACACUCCUUCCCCUCAUUCACACAUGUAAUCACUUGUUGACUUCUACCAGUGCGAGCUCCCUGGUUCCCUCUUUACCUGAUGGAUGAAAACCUGUUACUGCUAUUCUUCUCAUGCUCAGAUUGUCCCCGUAUGGCCAGAGAGCCCCUCUGACGGCCUCUGUGUCCUCCUGCCACAUCCUGACCAUUUUGGAGUGCGUCUUACUUCUUCAUGCUCUUGAUUUCCAGGCUCAUCCUGCACUUUCCCUGCCUGGGCCGUGUUGUCUCCAUAGAGCUCUAGUUCCUUCCAGAGAGACUGACGUCUGGCAACCAGGAGCUGAGUGCCAGGAGAGUGCUCAGUGCUAUGCGGUAUUGUAGCUUCCAUUUCCCUGAGUGGACAGAGCCGGGAAAUGCGUCCGUGCGCGCGCACGAGAGCACACACACACACACACACAGGUGCAGCGUCCGUGCGUGCACACACACACACACACAGGUGCAGCGUCCAUGCGUGCACUCACACAGGUGCAGCGUCCGUGCGUGCACACACACACACACAGGUGCAGCGUCCAUGCGUGCACUCACACAGGUGCAGCGUCCGUGCGUGCACACACACACACACAGGUGCAUUGUCCAUGCGUGCGCACACACACACACACACAGGUGCAGCAUCCGUGCACACCCACACACACAGGUGCAGCGUCCGUGCAUGCACACACACACAGGUGCAGCGUCCGUGCGCACACACACACACAGGUGCAGCGUCCGUGCGCACACACACACACAGGUGCAGCGUCUGUGCGUGCACACACACACACAGGUGCAGCGUCCAUGUGCACACACACACACAGGUGCAGCGUCCGUGCGCACACACACAGGUGCAGCGUCCAUGUGCACUCACACACACACAGGUGCAGCGUCCGUGCGUGCACACAUACACACAGGUGCAGCGUCCGUGCAUGCACAAACACACACACAGGUGCAGCGUCCAUGCAUGCGCGCACACACACACACAGGUGCAGCGUCCGUGCGUGCACACACACACACACACAGGUGCAGCGUCCGUGCACACACACAUACACACACAGGUGCAGCGUCCGUGCGCGCACACACACACAUUUAUAUGUGCUGAGUUCAUCCUGAUGCGGCUUGUAGGACACAGGUCCACAGGCAGGAGGAGCACACCAGGCAAGAAAACAACCAAGGUGGGGUCAGGGGUGAGCACAGGGGACAGAGUUGGGGGAGGGGAGUGGGGGGCCCUUGUCAAGAUCUGUAUGUCUGGGGAAGAGCCCCUGGCCACAACAACAGCAAGCACCACCACUGAGUGUGGCCUGCUCUGUGUGGCUGGAGCAGAGGGGGCUGGAGGGCAGCCUCGAGGCCAGUGGCAGUUAAGGGCUGAUCGGAGAGGCAGGAUCUCAUUCACGUUGGGCAGCGCUCCUAUGGACAGGCUCGAGGGGCAGGGCCAGGAGACAAGGCCUGCGAGGGGACACCUACAUGCAUCCUAAUGAGUGGGGACGGUGGCCAGACCCAGGGCUGUGACCGUGCAGAUGCUGGGAAGUGGGAUGUGUUUCCGAGGCUCUGACAAUGAGGCAACAAGGGAAAGGAGGGAAGCAUCAAAAGCCGACAGUGUGUCCAGGGAGGAAGCAGGACUUCUCUUUUAGGGUGCCACUACGUUUGAGAUGGAAGGGUAAGGAGACAGCUGGACAGAGUGGUCUAAAGGCCCUGGAAUCUGCAUUCUGAGCCUCAGUUUCCCCACCUGCCCUCUGAUCGGCCAGGCGCAGGCACCCAGUGGGCACGGGAGGCACUGGCCAGAUCAUGUGCUGUGGAAUAAACACCUUCCCUUCUCUCACUUAGCUUUGAUUAUAACCUGCCUCCCACCAUGCCCCGCUCCUCCAUGACCGCAGCGCCUUCACUGUCCUGUCUGGCCACUGUCUGGGCACUGCUCCCUCAGGAAUUCCACUGUCUUUCUCCCUGAAGAAAAAGAAGGCACAGCGUGCCCACUGUGUCCACACGGGCAAGUGUUUUUCCGAUACUUUCUUUAUUUCAGGAAAAAAGUUUUUAUGGGGACAUAUGUUUUGUUAGCGGCUAUAAUGUUCGUUUCUGAUGAAACGAUUUGUUUUCCUAGUAGAUCUUUCCACGUUAGAGCCAUUUCUCCAAGGGGUUUUGGCAAGGGUAGAUCUUUUUGGUGAGGAUAUGAAGAGGGUCAACCAUUUUAAUAAUAUUUUCACCUGCAACUUUGAUGGGAAGGCUGAGCCUGGCCCAGAAGCUUACGGAACAUUUUAAUGGUGUUCUGUGAAAAUGGAGCCAAGCUGAGCUGUCCCAUUUCUAAGAUGCAAGGACCCCCUCUGGUCCCUGCAGACCCUGAGCACGGCUCUGCGCGGUCCACCAUGUACUCCUGGAGGUCAGUCCCGGCCAGGGGGUGGGGGGGAUCUCUCAUCAGGGUGGCAUCUACAGAGAGGACUCUUGCCCCUCCCACCACUGCCACUACCCCAUGCUGUUGCUGAGGCGCAGAAGCCGUCCCACACAGGCACGGGGAGAGGCAGCUGCCAGGCUGUGCUGCCGCAGCCACCGGCGGAGGGAGCACAUGAUGUUGGCGGAGGCCACUCAGACAGAGCUGGGUAAGGAUGUCCAUGGUGCAAAAGAUGUGAGUGGUGGUGGAGGUGGCCUUGAAGGUGGUGGGGAGGAGAGAGCUGAUGGAGCAGGUGGCCACGUGGAUGGGGGCGUGCAGGGGGUGGUGCUCAUGUGGGCUGACGACAGUGGUGGUAGAUGGUGUUGAAAGUGACCGAGGUCGUAGUUGGGGUGACGGCGUUAGAGGUAAGGGGAGGUACCAUCAGGCUGGCCCAACACUUUUCUAGCCUCGGUUCAGGGGACGGUGGGUGCCAGUGCCAGGGGCCCUCCCACAGUAAAGGUGCAGUGCAGUGCUGAGACGUAAGGUUUCAUGCCUUCUGUGGCCCCGUGCCCCCCACUGGGAGCAGCAGACGCAGAACCAGCCCUCAGGCCUUGUUCUUCAGCCCGAGCAGUUUCUGCUGUCCUGAGUCCCUGGCCCCAGAGCUCCUCCUGGGAGUCCUGUCUGGGACAUGGGCCUGAGUGACCAGCUCCGAGGAAAGGAGAAAGGGAGACAAUGGCCAGAGGGGACACUACCCCCAGCCACCACACCCAGGAGGUGGUCUGCAGAGAAGCAGGCCCUGCCCUGACUGCCUGGGCAGGGGUCCCAGCCCCCUGGCAGGGGGCCUCAGGUGUCAACUGGGGGCGGGGCCUCAGUGGCCAGAGAGAGGAUGAGCCCUUAGCAGGCCCAGGGAGGAACUGAAAGGGUCAGGUGCCCCACUCGGGAAACGGAGGACCCGGGAAGCACGUGGCUGCUGCCACAUUGCUGUUUCUGACCAGGACUCCCGCCACCGCGCUGGGGACCAGUCUCCGCGCACGCUGCCCAAGCUCCAGGCGGGUGAGGCCGGGCCGGGGCGCGCCGCGCUCCCCUCGCCCAGGUGGCCCCGCUGCAGCUCGAACCCCACCCCCGCCCGCCUUCUCCCGCGGGCCGCUGUCCGGCCUUGGCCGCCGGAGGGAGGAAGCGCUGUCCUCAUUCCACCUCUGGCCGCCGCGGUGCCAAGUUGCUGGCGGCGGCGGCGGCGGGAGUCGGGGCGGCGGGCAGCGGCGGGGCGCAGCGCCCUCCCC
rnacentral:lncRNA from 1 species